UACGGAGGAUGCGAGCGUUAUCCGGAUUUAUUGGGUUUAAAGGGUGCGUAGGCGGAUCGUUAAGUCAGUGGUCAAAUUGAGGGGCUCAACCCCUUCCUGCCAUUGAAACUGGCGAUCUUGAGUGGAAGAGAAGUAUGCGGAAUGCGUGGUGUAGCGGUGAAAUGCAUAGAUAUCACGCAGAACCCCGAUUGCGAAGGCAGCAUGCCGGCUUCCUACUGACGCUGAAGCACGAAAGCGUGGGGAUCGAACAGG
rnacentral:rRNA from 1 species